UGGGGAAUUUUGGACAAUGGGCGAAAGCCUGAUCCAGCAAUGCCGCGUGUGUGGAGAAGGCCUUCGGGUUGUAAAGCACUUUUGUCCGGAAAGAAAUCCUUGGCUCUAAUACAGUCGGGGGAUGACGGUACCGGAAGAAUAAGCACCGGCUAACUACGUGCCAGCAGCCGCGGUAAUACGUAGGGUGCAAGCGUUAAUCGGAAUUACUGGGCGUAAAGCGUGCGCAGGCGGUUUGCUAAGACCGAUGUGAAAUCCCCGGGCUCAACCUGGGAACUGCAUUGGUGACUGGCAGGCUAGAGUAUGGCAGAGGGGGGUAGAAUUCCACGUGUAGCAGUGAAAUGCGUAGAGAUGUGGAGGAAUACCGAUGGCGAAGGCAGCCCCCUGGGCCAAUACUGACGCUCAUGCACGAAAGCGUGGGGAGCAAACAGGAUUAGAUACCCUGGUAGUCCACGCCCUAAACGAUGUCAACUAGUUGUUGGGGAUUCAUUUCCUUAGUAACGUAGCUAACGCGUGAAGUUGACCGCCUGGGGAGUACGGUCGCAAGAUUAAAA
rnacentral:rRNA from 1 species